CCAUUGACUGCAUCCCCAGAGGGCGCUCGCAGGGUGAAUAAAAUGUGCUUUUGGCGUUUUCUCUGAAUUAUUGUAGUUGUGGCUGCCACUCUAUUUCUGACUUUUUUGGACAAGCAAAGCAAUCUUUACUACAAGAUUUGCUAAACAAUCUGCUGUUUGCUAGUUGACUCAUUUGCAUAAUUCACCAGACCAUGGUCUCAUCACAAUGAUGUACUAUGAUAAUGAAUAUUCAUAGUCAGACACUCGAAACUACAAAAAUCAGGAAACUGCUAUAAAAUGACACCACAGCAAGAGCAACUUCUAGAUAGCAUGUGCAUGUGCGUUUCACCACAACAAAUCAAGCACGAUUUAACCUUCUACCGCUUGGAUAGGCCAGUGAAUAUUUUAAAUAAAAAUUUUGUAGAAGGCUGAACAUUACAAAGAUUUCAGCAAACCGGUGGAUUUAUCCUGCUCAGCUCAAUGGCUAUAAUGUUGCUUUGUUGUUUUGUGCUCGUUAAUUCUGAAUGAAAUUCUGAAGAAAAUUUAGACAUUGCACCUCUGCAACAAGUGCACUAGCCCUGCUUGGCUGAAUGGUGAAUUUUGCUUCCUCUACUGAAUGAAUGUGGCAACUGAUUUGGCAAUUGAAGCUUUCUAUUUCAAAUAAAUAUUCUUUGUAAUUCAGUAUCGUUUUGGAAAUAGUUUGAAUAUUCAUUGUAAUUUAGUAUUUUGAAUAAAUAUAUAUUCAGUUUA